UUCUCCUGUGGGUGAGCCACGGACCUCGCCUUUCCUUCUCGUCUCUGAGAUCUGAGAACCCCACAUCAUCACCUCAGGCACCCCAGACCCCAGUUGCAGGAGGAGUUGACGAUGCCCCCUCACCAAACACUGGCAUUUUCCUCAGAACCAACGGGACACAGCUUAGCCAGGGAGGGGCGGCCACCCUUCCCAGAAUCCUGGCCGUGCCUCCGUCCUGAUGAGCCUUGCCUGACCUCUUCGGUGCUGACCGCCCCCAUGCAAUGCCUUACUGGUUUCGUACUGACCGUGUCCAUUCACAUGAGUGUUGUGCCUGCCUGGGGUUGUGUGUGUGUGUGUGUCUCCCCCAUCGAAGUAAACAGGGCUAUAAGUCAUCUAUCCAUGAAGAGAAUACAAGUUGCUGACUUCUCAUCCAAAAGAGUCAUCUGUGUGGACGUAUGAUUGAGAGAGAGAGAAAGAGAGAGAGAGAGAGAGAGAGAGAGAGAGAGAGAGAUCUAUGUUUU
rnacentral:lncRNA from 1 species